UGAAAUUUACGAGACUUGCUCGACCUGUAGAUUCUUGUGUUCAAGAGUUGUUUUUUAAGUUUAUGUUUUAAAUGUUUAUGUUUAUGAACUAAAAAUGAAAUGGAAAUGCAUUGUAAUGUAAGAUUGUAUGUCUGCAAAGGCAAACAUAACUGAAAUUGGUACAACAUAAAUCAAAUUUAAUAACAUGGAAGUAAAACAGGAAACUAGUGAGAGUGAGGAAACUUCUUGUAAAAUAGAAUUAGAUAAUGAAGAGUUUGAUCAUGGUACUGAUGGUACCUUGGAUGACUUCAAAAUUGAAAUUGAGAAAGAACCCAAGAGAGAACCCGCCUACAACGCAUUUGAUUAUUUAUACAUUCCUGAAAAGGCUAAAGUAGAACAAGAUGAAUAUAAAUUUAAUAUAUGUGAAGAAACCCAAACAACAAAUGAAGAAAAAAUGUCCACUUUGUGAGUAUCGGAGUUCAUUGAAAAAAAAUUAAUUAGUCACUUUGAAGUAAAUCAUGAUAUUCAAAUUAUCAGAAGUUAUACCAAUUUUGCUAAAAUUGAGGAGUUCAAAGAGUACUUAAAAACAAUCGAGAAAAAUACAAAGUCUCGUUUUGUGAAAAAAAUAUCAACCACAAAUAUUUUAAAAUUUGACUGUAAUAGGUCCGGGGAGUAUGUGCCUAUAAAGAAUAGAAAUCGGGCACUGGAAAUGAAUGGCAGUAACAAAAUAAAUGCAUUUUGUCCUGCAUCACUAACAGUGCGCAUUAACAAGAAUGGAACCUAUCAGUGUGAAUUUUUAGAAAAUCAUAUAGGACAUACCAAUGAUAUGGGACAUUUUUUUUUUAAGUGAAGAAGAUAGAAAUAAUUUUGCAGUCAAAAUCGCUUCAAAAAUACCAUUCGAUGCUAUUUUGGAUAACGUUAGGGAUGCAGUUGAGGGAGACUAUGUAGAUAGGCUUCAUUUGCUUACCAAAAGGGACUUAUACAAUAUUGAGAAGUCAUUUAAUUUAAAUUCAGUUCGUCAUUGUAAUGAUGCAGUUAGUGUUGACUCUUUAGUCAAUGAAAUGAGCAAAGAGGAAAAUAAUUGUGUCCUGUUUUAUAAACCUCAGGAUAGCCUAAGCAAGGAUUAUAGUCAGCUGAAAAAAGAAGACUUUAUUUUAAUUAUAAUGAACUCAGUACAACGUCAUCUGUUGAAAAAGUACGGAUCAGAUUGUAUUUGCUUAGACGGUACACACGGUACCAAUGGAUACAAUUUUGAAUUAAUUACCUUAUUGGUUAUUGACGAUAUGCGACAACUCUUUCCCUGUGCUUUUAUGAUUACUGAUUACUAAUAGAUGUGAUAAAGAUACUUUAAAAAUAUUCUUCUCCUCAAUAAAAGCAUUCUCUGAUGUCAUUACUCCAGCUGUUUUUAUGACAGAUAUUGCAGAGUCAUUUUAUAAUGCUUGGAUAGAAACCAUGGGAACACCAGUGUCUAGUUGGCAUGUAGAUCGUGCUUGGAGAAAAAAUUUCAACAAAGUCGAUGGCAAAGAAAAACAGGUUCUGGUUUAUAAACAAAUAAGAUGCCUUAUGGAGGAAAGGGAUGUCUCUGCUUUUACGACAGUGAAGGACGAGCUAUGUAAACAACUUCUUGAAAACCCCGACACUACCGAAUUUGCGAAAUAUUUUAUUGACAAUUUAUGCAAAAUUUCAAGUGUUGGGCAUAUUGCUAUCGUUUACACGCUGGAAUAAAUACAACACCGCCUUCUUCGUCAUCGCAUAAGAAUAGAGGGAUCCGAACUUGAAUUUGUGCCUGUACUGGAAACCACUGGCUUAGGAUUUAUAUAAGUUAUUUAGCAAAACAGAAUGAACUGGGAAUACCUUUGGAAGAUAUGAGAGGACAAGGGUAUGAUAAUGGGGCAAACAUGAAAGGAAAGAACUUGGGAGUUCAAAACAGAAUUUUGAAAAUGAAUCCAAGAGCAUUUUUUGUCCCACGUUCUAGCCAUUCACUCAACUUAGUCGUGAACGAUGCUGCUAAAGUCUCACAGGUUGCAGUUUCUUUCUUUUCCUUAGUGACAAAAAUUUACAACUUGUUCUCAGCAUCUAUUCAUCGCUAGGCUAUACUGAAAAAUCAUACUUCUAGCAUAACAUUAAAACCUUUUGUCCGAAACUAGAUGGAAAAGUAGAAUUGAUGCAAUUACUCCGAUCAGAUACCAAAUUGAAGAAAUCUACGAUGCUCUUGUAGAAAUCACUGUCAAUAAAAACAACGAUAAAAUGGCUGCUCUUGAGGCAAACUGUUUAGUAAAUCAAAUCCGUGAUUUUACUGUUCUUUGCUCUGUGGUAAUAUGGCAUGACAUUUUACUUCACAUCAGCGUAGUCAGCAAAUCACUGCAGAGUAUUGAUAUUGGGAAUGUAUCAAUCUGUCAGUUUAUUAGAAAAAACGGAAAUCCAUUUUUAAGUCUCUCAGAAGUGAUUUAAAAUUCCAGGGCUAUUUGACGGACGCAAAAGAUCUGGCAUCAAAUUUAGAAAUUGAGAACCCGAAAAUCGGAGGCACAGUAAUAGCAAGAAGGAAAGUGAAAAGACAAUUUGGCUAUGAGACUGAAGAUGAAAAUAUGGACCUAGAUCCAGAGACACGAGAUAAGGAUGACUUCUAUUUAAAAAUUAUAUAUACACAACUGUUAAUGCAUUAAGUGAUAAAUUUCAGCAAAUUAAGAGCCAUGGGGAAAUUUUUGAGUUUUUUACGACAUAAACCAAAUUAAGGAGCUGACUGCUAGUGAUUUAUCAGAUAAAUGUUUUAAGCUAUGUGAUGCUUCAACUUUUGAUGAGCCAAAAGGUCUAAAUUCUGCUGAUCUAAAUGAUGCACUCAUUCUUUUUAGAGAAUGUGAAGCCCAAGAGUACACCUCUAGAGACGCUAAAAAUGAUUAGAGAGUAUGAACUUAAUUUCGCAACCAACGUUAGUGUUGCUUUGAGGAUUUUAUUAACCCUACCAGUGACAGUGGCCUCUGGGGAGAGAAGCUUUUCAAAGCUAAAGCUAAUAAAAAAUUACUUAAGAUCAACUAUGUCCCAUGAACGUUUGAGUGCUCUAGAGACAAUCCCUAUUUAACACGAAAUAGCUGAGUCCCUGGAUCUUGGAGAAUUAUUAAAAGACUUCUCCCGUGCCGAUGCAAGAAGAGUGCUACUUACUUACAAGCGUGUUUUUAAGCGUGUAUCGUUGAAAUAAAUUGGAAAAUGGGAUACUAAAUAAUUUAGCACAAAGCACACGACAAUAAAAAUACAAUCGUGAUUUACAUUGGCGAUCGCUGAAGGAAGGUGGUGAUUAAUGGAUCUACCAAAGGGGGUGGGGCGGCGCUAGCAAAUCUUGCCCAGGGCGGCCAAAUCCCUAUGGCCGGCCUGGUCCCGAUUAAACCCCGGUUAGCUAAUCGGGGCAGAAAGUACCGGCCCUAGAUCAGUUAAUCAGUGUUCUUAUAUUGCAAUAAUAAUCCUCUAAUUUAUAGAAAAUCUAAUAAUAUUUUAAUAUUAUUCGACACUUCCCAGAAAACUUCUGCGCCUUUUAAGGACUUGUCAGAAAUUUUUCAUUUUAUUUGUGUUCAAAUAAUAAUAGGUUUGUUCUAACAAACAGUCAAACUAGUCAGAAACCGUCAGCAAACAGUUGGUCAGUGAGAGAACAUAAUACAGUCACUAGUGCUAUCCCCUCUACUUGCGCUGGUCGACUAUUCGCUGAUGGUUUCAAACCGUUUGAAACUGAUGCUAGAACAAACCUAAUAAUGUAUAGAUAAUAUUAGUAGUUUCAUGGAUCUAAAUCGAACAAAUGCCUAGGUAUUAUACAGAUCCAUAGACUCCUACCAGUGAAACAAUGUGUUGAUUUGUCUACAAGACACAGUUUGUUGUAAACACCCUGCACAAUUCAAAUUAAUUUGACAUAUUACAUAUUCAUCUAUCACUAGGUAUGCAAUAAUUACAAUAGAAACGAUAUUUUUAAUUUUAUCGUCAUAAAAGUAAAUAAUACCUAGUCUGAAUAAUAUUGGCUACAACUCUGGUAACCCAUUAAUUAUAAUAGACUAUAUAGUAAAAUAGAAAAACAAUUAUUUCUUAUUGUAUGUAAACAAUAAUUUGAUAACCUAACUACUUGUGAGAUUUAAAAUUGUGCUCCUGUGCCGGAAGAUGGCUGAGGAAUUCUAGGUAUCCUCUUGUGUUUAGGGCAACCAAACAUAACCAAUUUGUAGUUAACAUUUGAUGUAAGCUAAAAAUAUUGACAGGGUUGUCAUAUUAUAAAAUAUUUCUCACUGUAAAACCUAAAAUUCAAAAUCGGAUAAGAACACAAUAUGUAAUUUAAAAAUCAAAAGCAAAUUAAUGUUAGAUAGAAAUAGGCCAGGGUAAUAAGACAAAAAUAUACCCUGUUCGUGACACUUCAACAGCCAGGGUACUGAAGCGUUUUUUCGACAGGUAAUACCUAUUGGCUCCGUGCGUCUCCCCUCUACGUACAGUCACGUGAUACGCUGUCAGAUUUUGUAAGGACGUUUUAACAUUGAGUCUUAUGGGAUCAUUUUGUUAAACUUGAAUAUUUUAUUUUGUAGUGAUAAUAACCGAAUACAAUUGUUAGAAUUCAUUAGUUAUUAAUUUAUACUGUAAUUUAUAGUGCAACAAGAUAUUUUCUUUUUCGUUAAUAAAUAUUUAUUGACAUAAACUGCGAUAGUGAGGUUAUGCAUACAAAAUCAAACUGAUAAUAAAUAUUGGAAAGUGAAGAAUUUAUAGUGCGUUUUUAUUUUCUGUUUAUAUUAAUACAUAAUAUCACUAGCGUGGCACGGCAUUUUUUUAAAUGUCUCAUUUAAACAUACACAAAGCGUCCUUAUAAAAUUUCAAAAAACCGCCACCAUGAGCAGGUCGGUCGAUUUUGCUUUGACACUUUGUUAACGCUCGGAGCGAAUAAGAACAAAUUGGUAACUAUUUCCUGCUUAGGAUCUGGCGGCCAUUUUUAUUUAUAAACAGUUUAGUGUCAAAAAACGGCAUUUUUUCCUUUUUUUUUUCAAAUCAAUG